rnacentral:lncRNA from 1 species
AAGGGAAUCCAUAGAGGACUUGGGAAUUUUGAAGUGACAUCUGUUUUGUUUUUACAGUGAUUUCACAAACCCAGAAUCUUCAUUCAAGUUAAAAUUCACAAAUAAAGCAAAUGUUCUUGAAAAUCAAGCUUCUCCGGCAUGGUUUAGAAAAAAAGAUUCAUCAUCAUUGAAUGACACAGGAACAGCUGUUACAGAGGCCAUGAAAUGAAAGUGCCACGUUCCAGACACAGAUGCCAGUCUCCUGAUAAAAUUCUACUUCAAUCAGAACUUCCUGCUCAUCUCAGCAGAGGAAGAAUCUUAUCUGGAAAUCUAACCCCGGCCUUUGCAACGUAACCUUCUAAUUUAUCAUAAUGAUGCUCCACACUCCCACAUCCCCACCAGAGAAUCAUUGAUUUUUGUAUUCUUUGGAUUGCUUUCAUGCUCAAAUUUCCUCAUCUGUAAGUAGAUACCAGAGACCUCAUUGCCUCCUUGAGAUUUCAUCCCAUAUUAUUCCUUUUAUCUAGUCAGACUCCACAAAUAUGUAGCCAGCACCCACUGUCUCCAUUUACUUUCCUCUAAUUGCUUCCAUAUGCUUCUGCAAUCUGUGUCAUCAUCAAUGAACUAAAAUUUCUCACAUCAAGGACUUGGCUAAAUUUACUGAUAACUAUUGUAUUAUCAGUCUCUGAGACUCUCUGUCACAUAACAUAGCUUUCUCCAUGGAUAUAUUCUUGCCCUGACUCAAAAGCAAAAUGAAAUAUUUUGAGUUUAUAAUGCUUAUAAGCAGUCUUCAUUUCUUAAUAUAUAAACCAGGACCCAAAAGUAAAUAUGGAUAUAUAUAGCUUAAUGAUAUGUGUUCUGCUCAUGCCAACUUAAACAAUUUCCCACCAGGGCUCAGAUGCCUUACUUCUU